AUGGGGGACCACCUUCCUCAACAUCAUCUCUGUAAUGGUGAAAUUAGGACGAUUGAGGAAGAGUAGCAGAGGUGGGCAUGGAUGAAAAAAAACGUUAAUCCACAUAAAGGUUAUUUUGGAGCAGGAUUUAAAUAUAAUAAUCAGGUUAUUUUGGAGCAGGAUUUAAGUAUAAUAAUCAGGUUAUUUUGGAGCAGGAUUAAAAUAUAAUAAUCAGGUUAUUUUGGAGCAGGAUUUAAGUAUAAUAAUCAGGUUAUUUUGGAGCAGGAUUAAAAUAUAAUAAUCAGGUUAUUUUGGAGCAGGAUUUAAAUAUAAUAAUCAGGUUAUUUUGGAGCAGGAUUUAAAUAUAAUAAUCAGGUUAUUUUGGAGCAGUAUUCAGAUAUAAUAAUCAGGUUAUUUUGGAACAGGAUUCAGAUAUAAUAAUCAGGUUAUUUUGGAGCAGGAUUCAGAUAUAAUAAUCAGGUUAUUUUGGAGCAGGAUUUAAGUAUAAUAAUCAGGUUAUUUUGGAGCAGGAUUAAAAUAUAAUAAUCAGGUUAUUUUGGAGCAGGAUUAAAAUAUAAUAAUCAGGUUAUUUUGGAGCAGGAUUAAAAUAUAAUAAUCAGGUUAUUUUGGAGCAGGAUUUAAAUAUAAUAAUCAGGUUAUUUUGGAGCAGGAUUCAGAUAUAAUAAUCAGGUUAUUUUGGAGCAGGAUUAAAAUAUAAUAAUCAGGUUAUUUUGGAGCAGGAUUUAAAUAUAAUAAUCAGGUUAUUUUGGAGCAGGAUUCAGAUAUAAUAAUCAGGUUAUUUUGGAACAGGAUUCAGAUAUAAUAAUCAGGUUAUUUUGGAACAGGAUUAAAAUAUAAUAAUCAGGUUAUUUUGGAGCAGGAUUUAAGUAUAAUAAUCAGGUUAUUUUGGAGCAGGAUUUAAGUAUAAUAAUCAGGUUAUUUUGGAGCAGGAUUAAAAUAUAAUAAUCAGGUUAUUUUGGAGCAGGAUUUAAAUAUAAUAAUCAGGUUAUUUUGGAGCAGGAUUUAAAUAUAAUAAUCAGGUUAUUUUGGAGCAGGAUUUAAGUAUAAUAAUCAGGUUAUUUUGGAGCAGGAUUUAAAGAUAAUAAUCAGGUUAUUUUGGAGCAGGAUUUAAGUAUAAUAAUCAGGUUAUUUUGGAGCAGGAUUUAAGUAUAAUAAUCAGGUUAUUUUGGAGCAGGAUUUAAAUAUAAUAAUCAGGUUAUUUUGGAGCAGGAUUUAAGUAUAAUAAUCAGGUUAUUUUGGAGCAGGAUUUAAAUAUAAUAAUCAGGUUAUUUUGGAGCAGGAUUUAAGUAUAAUAAUCAGGUUAUUUUGGAGCAGGAUUUAAAUAUAAUAAUCAGGUUAUUUUGGAGCAGGAUUUAAGUAUAAUAAUCAGGUUAUUUUGGAGCAGGAUUUAAAGAUAAUAAUCAGGUUAUUUUGGAGCAGGAUUUAAGUAUAAUAAUCAGGUUAUUUUGGAGCAGGAUUUAAGUAUAAUAAUCAGGUUAUUUUGGAGCAGGAUUUAAAUAUAAUAAUCAGGUUAUUUUGGAGCAGGAUUCAGAUAUAAUAAUCAGGUUAUUUUGGAGCAGGGUUAAAAUACAAUAAUCAGUUACUUAUGAUGGAAGCUUCCUGUCUUCCAUUGAGCAUUUUUCAUCCAUUUGCCAUAUUCAAAACAUUUCUAGAAAGCAACUUCCAGGUUCUAAUACAUUCCCAUCAUAUACAGAAAGUUUAGAGCACUACAAAAUCAAGGGCUCAUUAUCUUUUCUCCAGUUGCAUUCUGGGAGAAGCAGCUCCCGGUGAGGUGAUAUAGUAAGUAUGUAAGAUAGCAGCUCCCGAUGAGGUGUUAUAGUAAGAAUGGAAGAUAGCAGUCAUUGGUUUAGCUUUAGUUUCUAGCACCCUUAUUUGUUUAGUAAAUAUUCCCAGGUAGGGCUAAAGUAUAUAUUCAUCCACAAGCCCAAUGCAUCUGCAGCAUCUAACACCACAUUCAUCAUUAACCCCUAGCUCCUAUCACCUGUCUAGGCACAUAUCAGAUCUCAUCCUCAUUAACCCCUAGCUCCUACCACCGUUUAGGCACAUAUCAGAUCUCAUCCUCAUUAACCCCUAGCUCCUACCACUGUCUAGGCACAUAUCAGAUCUCAUCCUCAUUAACCCCUAGCUCCUACCACUGUCUAGGCACAUCUCAUAUCUCCAAGUGCAGAAGGGCUAGGGGCCCCUAGGGCCUAGGGGUGGAUUUGGGAUUGAUCAUGAUCGGUGAUAUUACAGAAGCAGUUUGAGAGGAAGCAGCUGAAGCCAUUCAGUGAGGCAGAGGCGUGCUUGAGAAAGUACUGUAGCUAUAACUAAUACACAUACUAGACUAUGGGUAUACAGUACCAAUAUGCAUACCGCACUAUGGAUACACAGUACUAAUACACAUAGUAUACUAUGGAUAUACAGUACUAAUAUACAGUACAUAGUAUACUAUGGAUAUACAGUACUAAUAUACAGUACAUAAUAUACUAUGGAUACACAGUACUAAUACACAUAGUAUACUAUGGAUACACAGUACUAAUAUUAUACAGUACAUAGUAUA